AGUUAGUUAGUUUAUCAAAAUAUAUAUCUUGAAAAUAUAAGUAAGAAAAUAAUCACUCUAUUAACUU
rnacentral:tRNA from 1 species